AUCUUAUUCCAUGCAUCCUCUCAAUUACAAAAAACAAGUGUAUAGAAUGAAAGAAAAGAUGAUUAAAAAAUUUGAGGAUAAUGAAUAUGAACAUCCAUACACCUUGUGUACACUUCCAGAGAAAAAAAUAGUAACAUGAUUGGUUGAGAGGUACACUUCCAAAUUAUUAUUUUCAGAGAGGUACAUUUCUUGUUAUUAGUCUGACUCCACAAAAUCCAGAUGAAGCAAAUUGUCAAGACAAUUAUAAUCUAAAUAUUUAAAAUACAAAAAUCUAGUCACAUUUUAUUACAGAACAUGCUUCUUCACUAAAGGACUCUCACAUAUUGCUGAUUUGCAUCAUGCAACCCUCUCAUCUUAUUCCAUGCAUCCUCUCAAUUACAAAAAACAAGUGUAUAGAAUGAAAGAAAAGAUGAUUAAAAAAUUUGAGGAUAAUGAAUAUGAACAUCCAUACACCUUGUGUACACUUCUAGAGAAAAAAAUAGUAACAUGAUUGGUUGAGAGGUACACUUCCAAAUUAUUAUUUUCAGAGAGGUACAUUUCUUGUUAUUAGUCUGACUCCACAAAAUCCAGAUGAAGCAAAUUGUCAAGACAAUUAUAAUCUAAAUAUUUAAAAUACAAAAAUCUAGUCACAUUUUAUUACAGAACAUGCUUCUUCACUAAAGGACUCUCACAUAUUGCUG
rnacentral:lncRNA from 1 species